UACGUAGGGGGCAAGCGUUGUCCGGAAUUAUUGGGCGUAAAAAGCUCGUAGGCGGCUUGUCGCGUCGACUGUGAAACCCGCGGCUCAACUGCGGGCCUGCAGCCGAUACGGGCAGACUAGAGUUCGGUAGGGGAGACUGGAAUUCCUGGUGUAGCGGUGAAAUGCGCAGAUAUCAGGAGGAACACCGGUGGCGAAGGCGGGUCUCUGGGCCGAUACUGACGCUGAGGAGCGAAAGCGUGGGGAGCGAACAGG
rnacentral:rRNA from 1 species